UACGAAGGGUGCAAGCGUUACUCGGAAUUACUGGGCGUAAAGCGUGCGUAGGUGGUUCGUUAAGUCUGAUGUGAAAGCCCUGGGCUCAACCUGGGAAUGGCAUUGGAAACUGGCGACCUAGAGUGCGGUAGAGGGUAGUGGAAUUCCCGGUGUAGCAGUGAAAUGCGUAGAGAUCGGGAGGAACAUCCGUGGCGAAGGCGGCCUGCUGGGCAGUAGCUGACGCUGAGGCGCGACAGCGUGGGGAGCAAACAGG
rnacentral:rRNA from 1 species